GGAAGUUAAAAAACUGUUUCUUAACUUUUAACUAAAAAAGCUAAGAACCGGUUCUUAGCUUUUUUAGUUAAAAGUUAAGAAACAGUUUCUUAACUUCC
rnacentral:pre_miRNA from 1 species